GCAGUGGUGAUUCAGUGGUAGAAUUCUUGCUGUCCAUGCAGGAGUCCUAGGUUCGAUUCCUGGCCAAUGCA
rnacentral:tRNA from 1 species